GAGUUUGAUCAUGGCUCAGGAUGAACGCUAGCGGCAGGCCUAACACAUGCAAGUCGAGGGGUAGGUCAUUUCGGUGACUGAGACCGGCGCACGGGUGCGUAACGCGUAUGCAAUCUGCCUUUUACUGAGGGAUAGCCCGAAGAAAUUUGGAUUAAUACCUCAUAGUAUUAUGAAGUGGCAUCACUUUAUGAUUAAAGAAUUUCGGUAAAAGAUGAGCAUGCGUCCCAUUAGCUAGAUGGUAAGGUAACGGCUUACCAUGGCAACGAUGGGUAGGGGUCCUGAGAGGGAGAUCCCCCACACUGGUACUGAGACACGGACCAGACUCCUACGGGAGGCAGCAGUGAGGAAUAUU
rnacentral:rRNA from 1 species